rnacentral:rRNA from 1 species
GACAGAGGUUGCAAACGUUGUUCGGAAUCACUGGGCAUAAAGCGCACGUAGGCGGUCUGUUAAGUCAGGUGUGAAAGCCCCCGGCUCAACCGGGGAACAGCAUCUGAUACUGGCAGACUCGAGGAUGGUAGGGGUGAGUGGAACUCCAGGUGGAGCGGUGAAAUGCGUAGAUAUCUGGAGGAACAUCGGUGGCGAAGGCGGCAUCCUGGACCGGUAUUGACGCUGAGGCGCGAAAGCCAGGGGAGCAAACGGG